CCCAUAGCACAAUGGUGUUCUUACCGAGAAUGAGGGCGAUAUAAAAUACGAAAUUCACACGAUUAACAUAUAAACGGUGUUCUUGCUCGUUACAUCAUCUUUAGACAUCGCGUAUCCUUCUACAUGUUCAAGUCAAAGAAUGUCAAAUGUCAAGAAUAUUAAACACUUCACAAAUUGUGUUUGUACUACAAAUAUUUAUUUGGUUCGACUGACAAUCAUUUUGAAGUAACAUGUAUUUAUUAUAACAUUGAAUACAUCCAGUUUGAACAAACCAAAUUUUGAAUGAUUUAAGAACAAUUUACGUAUUAUUCGGGUAAAUAUUUCGAAUGAUCUAGGAACAAUGAUUGCGUUGAAGCCGGCGUGAUCUGAAAUACAAUCAAAUAUAUGAUCCUCUGAAUACAAACAUUACCUAUGAUCUCAUAAUUAAAAACAAAAUCGUGCUUCGUAUGAACGUUACGUAGCAAAUAAAAUUACUAGGAAGUGUUUUAGCAGUGAAGAUGGAAAUGUAAUUCUUUGUCGAGCUAAUAUAGGUUCAAAGUCGAAAUGAAAUGAGUUUAUUGUUAUUGUUAUAGUUUAUUAUUACUACAUAGUACGACUACUACUACUACUACUAAACCGCUCUAUUACAGAUAGGAAUAUUUUUGUUAAUGAUUUUUUCAUAAGCUUUAGAGUACUCUCUCAUUGUUUCUAUGUGUAUGUUCCAAGCACUUGUUAAACAAAAGUAGUUAGAGCCGUUUAUUGAUAUUAUAUAAUUACGUCCAUUAUUAUUCUCUUGAAUUCAAUUAAUAGUGUUAGUAAAUAAUAAUAUGAUACAUAAACAUGUGCAAAUUAAAUGGGCCGUAUGCUCGUCUGCCUACAAGGGCAAAAAAAAAAAAAAAACAGAGUAUUGUCACUUAUUCUUUUUUUAAUGGUGUCAAUUUUGAAUGGCGACAAAAUGUUUGUCGACGUGAAUCACUGACCUCAGUCAACGUGCAUUACUCAAUCAACUUCUUACUAAUUUCAUGUCAUUCGAAUCUCUUUCAAUAUUUGUCGCUUUAAUUCAUUGUUUCUCGAAAAGAAAUUAUUUUGAUUUAGUUCAGAUUGGGCCGACAAAACACAGUUUUGUGCCUGUUUACCAUCUUACGAGACCAACUUAUGAGAUUGUAAUAUAUGUAAUCGUGUAUCGAGUAAUCGAUCAGCUUUAGGGCCUGACCUACAUUUUGUAAAUCAUCUUAUUCUGUAAAAUAAUUUCAAAAUGUAAUGAUCUGAUGAUGAUGACAUGCCUUUAGGGGACAAUCUUCUAAUUCAUUUAUUUAAGGUCAGACUGACAAUCAGUGAAAUCUUCAUGCUCAUUCCAUGGGGAAUGCU